rnacentral:rRNA from 1 species
GCAUAUCAAUAAGCGGAGGAAAAGAAACCAACCGGGAUUGCCUCAGUAACGGCGAGUGAAGCGGCAAGAGCUCAAAUUUGAAAGCUGGCCCCUCCGGGGUCCGCGUUGUAAUUUGCAGAGGAUGCUUUGGGUGCGGCCCCCGUCUAAGUGCCCUGGAACGGGCCGUCAGAGAGGGUGAGAAUCCCGUCUUGGGCGGGGUGUCCGUGCCCGUGUAAAGCUCCUUCGACGAGUCGAGUUGUUUGGGAAUGCAGCUCUAAAUGGGUGGUAAAUUUCAUCUAAAGCUAAAUACUGGCCGGAGACCGAUAGCGCACAAGUAGAGUGAUCGAAAGAUGAAAAGCACUUUGAAAAGAGAGUUAAACAGCACGUGAAAUUGUUGAAAGGGAAGCGCUUGCGACCAGACUCGCCCUCGGGGUUCAGCCGGCACUCGUGCCGGUGUACUUCCCCGGGGGCGGGCCAGCGUCAGCUUGGGCGGCCGGUCAAAGGCCUCCGGAAUGUAGUGCCCCCCGGGGCACCUUAUAGCCGGAGGUGCAAUGCGGCCAGCCUGGGCUGAGGAACGCGCUUCGGCACGGACGCUGGCAUAAUGGUCGCAAACGACCCGUCUUGAAACACGGACCAAGGAGUCUAACAUCUACGCGAGUGUUCGGGUGUCAAACCCGUACGCGCAGUGAAAGCAAACGGAGGUGGGAGCCCCCUCGCGGGGCGCACCAUCGACCGAUCCUGAUGUCUUCGGAUGGAUUUGAGUAAGAGCGUAAAUGUGGGGACCCGAAAGAUGGUGAACUAUGCCUGAAUAGGGCGAAGCCAGAGGAAACUCUGGUGGAGGCUCGCAGCGGUUCUGACGUGCAAAUCGAUCGUCAAAUUUGGGGUAUAGGGGGCGAAAGACUAAUCGAACCAUCUAGUAGCUGGUUCCUGCCGAAGU